UUGAUCCUACGGGACGCAGCAGUGGGGAAUAUUGCACAAUGGGCGAAAGCCUGAUGCAGCGACGCCACGUGAAGGAUGAAGUAUUUCGGUAUGUAAACUUCUAUCAGCAGGGAAGAAAAUGACGGUACCUGUCUAAGAAGCCCCGGCUAACUACGUGCCAGCAGCCGCGGUAAUACGUAGGGGGCAAGCGUUAUCCGGAUUUACUGGGUGUAAAGGGAGCGUAGACGGCGAUGCAAGCCAGAUGUGAAAGCCCGGGGCUCAACCCCGGGACUGCAUUUGGAACUGUGUGGCUGGAGUGUCGGAGG
rnacentral:rRNA from 1 species